UAAAAUUCUAAAAAUCAUCCCUAUUUAUUAUCCAAAAAAUUAUCCCAACGUUAUCCUUAAAUCAUCCAAUAGUUAUCCCAUGAAUUUUUAUCCUUAAAAUCUUAGGUUUUAUCCCAUAUAAUCCCUAAAAUUAUCCCAUUUAAUUAUUUGCAAAGAUAUAAUUAUUAGUUUAAUUAAGAAAAUAAAUUAAAAGGUAAUUGUAUAAAUCUAAGUAUUAUAUCCAUUAUCCCUAAAAUUCUAAAAAUUUAUCCCAUUUAUUGUCCCAAAAAU
rnacentral:lncRNA from 1 species